AUGUUUACUGCAUGUGCUUCAUUAACAUUUGCAGAUAAUGAGACGCAACAAGAACCGUCUUCUUCCAGGAAACGUAGGAACGCCCUCCCGCCCACCCUUGAGCUCCUUCAGCCGCCCAUCAUCACCAUCUCCGACGACGCUAGCACCGUGGCGGCCUCCGCUGCUCCCAGAGCCGCCGCGCCCUCUCCUUGCCGCAGCUCGCGCAUCCAGAAGUUAUACAACGGGGCAUGUGUUGGCUCCAUUGGGCGCUUCUCCAAGCGCAAAGCCGCUGUUAGCUCCUCUGACAGCGGGAUGGUGAACCGCUCAUGCUCCUCCUCCUCCAGGCGGAAGAAGACCAAGGUUCAGCACGCGGCUUCCAAUGCUGCGACCUGA
rnacentral:rRNA from 1 species